rnacentral:rRNA from 1 species
UACGAAGGGGGCUAGCGUUGUUCGGAAUUACUGGGCGUAAAGCGCGUGUAGGCGGGUCCUUAAGUCAGGGGGGAAAUGCCGGAGCUCAACUUCGGAACUGCCUUUGAUACUGGGGAUCUUGAGUCCGGGAGAGGUGAGUGGAACUGCGAGUGUAGAGGUGAAAUUCGUAGAUAUUCGCAAGAACACCAGUGGCGAAGGCGGCUCACUGGCCCGGUACUGACGCUGAGGCACGAAAGCGUGGGGAGCAAACAGG